GGUAUUGAGAUACCAGCUGGUUGCAUCGUUGAUCUCCAAACGAUAUUCAGGCUUCGACAUGACAGGACUUCGAUGGCUCACAUGGCAGUUGCCUUGAUCGACGAGUCAUAUGGUGAUAUGAAGACCAGUUUCCCAAAGUCUCAACACAGACUUUGGGAGAAGGGCCCACUUGAUGAUAUCAACAUUGAGUAUGCAGCAAAAGUUGCAUACGUUUCAUACGAGUUGUACCGCAAGAUUCGAGUCAUGAACUAUGGCCAGCGUCACCUCGAGGAACGUGGACAUUCUGAUUUAGAUGAUUCAGACGAGUAGUGUUCUUAACGUCGAACACUUGUAUAUAUAUCUAUGGUAGCUAUUAUUAUGUACUGUUUGGACUAGUAUCAUGUACUGCUUGGACCAAUU
rnacentral:lncRNA from 1 species